UACAGAGGUCCCAAGCGUUGUUCGGAUUCAUUGGGCGUAAAGGGUGCGUAGGUGGCGCCGUAAGUGGGGUGUGAAAUUUCGGAGCUUAACUCCGAAACUGCAUUCCAUACUGCGGUGCUUGAGGACUGGAGAGGAGACUGGAAUUCAUGGUGUAGCAGUGAAAUGCGUAGAGAUCAUGAGGAAGACCAGUGGCGAAGGCGGGUCUCUGGACAGUUCCUGACACUGAUGCACGAAGGCCAGGGGAGCAAACGGG
rnacentral:rRNA from 1 species